AGAGUUUGAUCCUGGCUCAGGACGAACGCUGGCGGCGUGCCUAACACAUGCAAGUCGAGCGGAGAUAUAAGCAAUUGUAUCUUAGCGGCGGACGGGUGAGUAACGCGUAGGCAACCUGCCCUAAAGAGGGGGAUAACACGGAGAAAUUCGUGCUAAUACCGCAUAAUAUGUUUUCAACGCAUGUUGAAAACAUCAAAGGAGUAAUCCGCUUUAGGAUGGGCCCGCGUCUGAUUAGCUAGUUGGUGAGGUAAAGGCUUACCAAGGCGACGAUCAGUAGCCGACCUGAGAGGGUGAUCGGCCACACUGGAACUGAGACACGGUCCAGACUCCUACGGGAGGCAGCAGUGGGGAAUAUUGCGCAAUGGGGGAAACCCUGACGCAGCAACGCCGCGUGGAGGAAGAAGGUCUUCGGAUUGUAAACUCCUGUCUUUGGGGACGAAGAAAUGACGGUACCCAAGGAGGAAGCCACGGCUAACUACGUGCCAGCAGCCGCGGUAAUACGUAGGUGGCAAGCGUUGUCCGGAAUUAUUGGGCGUAAAGGGCGCGUAGGCGGCACUUUAAGUCAGAUGUGAAAACCCGAGGCUUAACUUCGGGCGUGCAUUUGAAACUGGGGUGCUUGAGUGCAGGAGAGGAAAGCGGAAUUCCUAGUGUAGCGGUGAAAUGCGUAGAUAUUAGGAGGAACACCAGUGGCGAAGGCGGCUUUCUGGACUGUAACUGACGCUGAGGCGCGAAAGCGUGGGGAGCAAACAGGAUUAGAUACCCUGGUAGUCC
rnacentral:rRNA from 1 species